GGGUCAGUAGGUUGGUCGUGCCACCGGUACGUACUGGUCUCACUGAUUCCUCCUUCCUGAAGAACCGUAACGCCAUUAAUUUGGUGUUGCGGGGAAACAGGACUGUUACUUUGAAAAAAUUAGAGUGUUUCAAGCAAGCUAACGCUUGAAUACAUUAGCAUGGAAUAAUGAAAUAGGACGAUCGAUCCUAUUUUGUUGGUUUCUAGGAUUGACGUA
rnacentral:rRNA from 1 species